GGGACGAACGCUGGCGGCGCGCCUAACACAUGCAAGUCGAGCGAGAACCGGGACUUCGGUCCCGGGGGCAGCGGCGAACGGGUGAGUAACACGUGGAUAACCUGCCCUCGGCACCGGAAUAGCCCGGGGAAACCCGGAUUAAUGCCGGAUAGCCCCACAUCCCUGCGGGGAACGUGGGAAAAGGUAGCUUCGGCCUCUGGCCGAGGAUGGGUCCGCGGUGGAUUAGCUUGUUGGUGCGGGUAAUGGCCCACCAAGGCGACGAUCCAUAGCUGGUCUGAGAGGACGAUCAGCCACACUGGGACUGAGACACGGCCCAGACUCCUACGGGAGGCAGCAGUGGGGAAUCUUGCGCAAUGGGCGAAAGCCUGACGCAGCGACGCCGCGUGAGGGAUGACGGCCUUCGGGUUGUAAACCUCUUUCAGCAGGGACGAAGCGAAAGUGACGGUACCUGCAGAAGAAGGACCGGCCAACUACGUGCCAGCAGCCGC
rnacentral:rRNA from 1 species